rnacentral:rRNA from 1 species
AAAUGACUCUCGACAACGGAUAUCCCGGCUCUCGCAUCGAUGAAGAACGUAGCGAAAUGCGAUACUUGGUGUGAAUUGCAGAAUCCCGUGAACCAUCGAGUCUUUGAACGCAAGUUGCGCCCGAAGCCAUUAGGCCGAGGGCACGUCUGCCUGGGUGUCACGCAUCGUGUUGC